rnacentral:rRNA from 1 species
GUCAGGGAAGAAACGGUGAAAGACUAAUAUCUUUUGCUAAUGACGGUACCUGAAGAAUAAGCACCGGCUAACUACGUGCCAGCAGCCGCGGUAAUACGUAGGGUGCAAGCGUUAAUCGGAAUUACUGGGCGUAAAGCGUGCGCAGGUCGGUUUGUAAGUCUGAUGUGAAAUCCCCGGGCUCAACCUGGGAAUUGCAUUGGAGACUGCAAGGCUUAGAAUCUGGCAGGAGGGGGUAGAAUUCCACGUGUAGCAGUGAAAUGCGUAGAUAUGUGGAGGAACACCGAUGGCGAAGGCAGCCCCCUGGGUCAAGAUUGACGCUCAUGCACGAAAGCGUGGGGAGCAAACAGGAUUAGAUACCCUGGUAGUCCACGCCCUAAACGAUGUCUACUAGUUGUCGGGUCUUAAUUGACUUGGUAACGCAGCUAACGCGUGAAGUAGACCGCCUGGGGAGUACGGUCGCAAGAUUA